rnacentral:misc_RNA from 1 species
AGGUUUUCGUAGGUGACCUGCGGAGGAUCAUUAACGAGUUAGGGUUGGCCCCUCGCGGCCGCCCGAACCUCCCAACCCUUGUGUCUACCAAACCCAAUGUAUGUUGCUUCGGCGGGCCGGUUUCCCCGUCACACGGGAGACCGCCGGGCCUCUUGCGCCUGGAGAGCGCCCGCCGACGGCCCACACCAAAACUCUUGAACCAAAACAGUGUCGUCUGAAUUCAAAAAAAAAGUUAAUUAAAAACAAAACUUUCAACAACGGAUCUCUUGGUUCGGGCAUCGAUGAAAAAGCAGCGAAAUGCGAUAAGUAAUGCGAAUUGCGGAAUUUCCGUGAGUCAUCGAAUCUUUGAACGCACAUUGCGCCCAUUGGUAUUCCAAUGGGCAUGCCUGUUCGAGCGUCAUUAUCCUCCCUCAAACCCCCGGUUUGGUGUUGGACCGCGUCGGCCUGCGAGGGUCGACUGGUCUCAAAGACAAUGACGGCGUCCGUGGGACCCUCUUCGCAACGAGCUUUCGGGCACGCGAACACAAAGGACCCGCGGGCCGGCCACCCUUCUUAUCAUUUACAAGGUUGACCUCGGAUCAGGUAGGAAUACCCGCUGAACUUAAGCAUAUCAAUAAGCGGAGGA